rnacentral:rRNA from 1 species
GAUGAACGCUGGCGGCGUGCCUAAUACAUGCAAGUCGAGCGAACAGACGAGGAGCUUGCUCCUCUGACGUUAGCGGCGGACGGGUGAGUAACACGUGGAUAACCUACCUAUAAGACUGGGAUAACUUCGGGAAACCGGAGCUAAUACCGGAUAAUAUAUUGAACCGCAUGGUUCAAUAGUGAAAGACGGUUUUGCUGUCACUUAUAGAUGGAUCCGCGCCGCAUUAGCUAGUUGGUAAGGUAACGGCUUACCAAGGCAACGAUGCGUAGCCGACCUGAGAGGGUGAUCGGCCACACUGGAACUGAGACACGGUCCAGACUCCUACGGGAGGCAGCAGUAGGGUAUCUUCCGCAAUGGGCGAAAGCCUGACGGAGCAACGCCGCGUGAGUGAUGAAGGUCUUCGGAUCGUAAAACUCCGUUAUUAGGGAAGAACAAAUGUGUAAGUAACUAUGCACGUCUUGACGGUACCUAAUCAGAAAGCCACGGCUAACUACGUG